AUGAACGCUGGCGGCGUGCCUAAUACAUGCCAGUCGAGCGAACAGACGAGGAGCUUGCUCCUCUGACGUUAGCGGCGGACGGGUGAGUAACACGUGGAUAACCUACCUAUAAGACUGGGAUAACUUCGGGAAACCGGAGCUAAUACCGGAUAAUAUAUUGAACCGCAUGGUUCAAUAGUGAAAGACGGUUUUGCUGUCACUUAUAGAUGGAUCCGCGCCGCAUUAGCUAGUUGGUAAGGUAACGGCUUACCAAGGCAACUAUGCGUAGCCGACCUGAGAGGGUGAUCGGCCACACUGGAACUGAGACACGGUCCAGACUCCUACGGGAGGCAGCAGUAGGGAAUCUGCCGCAAUGGGCGAAAGCCUGACGGAGCAACGCCGCGUGAGUGAUGAAGGUCUUCGGAUCGUAAAACUCUGUUAUUAGGGAAGAACAAAUGUGUAAGUAACUAUGCACGUCUUGACGGUACCUAAUCGGAAAGCCACGGCUAACUACGUG
rnacentral:rRNA from 1 species